GGAAAUAGCUGGUUCUCUGCGAAAUCUAUUUAGGUAGAGCGUCGACCGAAUACUCUGGGGGGUAGAGCACUGAAUGGGCUAGGGGGACUCACCGUCUUACCAAACCUAAUCAAACUCCGAAUACCCAGAAGUACUAGUCGGCAGACACACCACGGGUGCUAAGGUCCGUGGUGAAAAGGGAAACAGCCCUAACCUACAGCUAAGGUCCCCAAGUCAUAGUUAAGUGGGAAAGCAUG
rnacentral:rRNA from 1 species